rnacentral:rRNA from 1 species
AACGAACGCUGGCGGCAUGCCUAACACAUGCAAGUCGAACGAAGCCUUCGGGUUAGUGGCGAACGGGUGAGUAACACGUGGGUGAUCUGCCCUGCACUUUGGGAUAAGCCUGGGAAACUGGGUCUAAUACCGAAUAGGACCACGGCAUUCAUGUGAUGUGGUGGAAAGCUUUUGCGGUGUGGGAUGGGCCCGCGGCCUAUCAGCUUGUUGGUGGGGUAAUGGCCUACCAAGGCGACGACGGGUAGCCGGGCUGAGAGGGUGACCGGCCACAGUGGGUCUGAGAUACGGGCCAGAAUCCUACGGGAUGAAACAGUGGGGAAUAUUGGACAAUGGGCGCAGGCCUGGUGCAGCGACGCCGCGUGGGUGAUGACGGCCUUAGGGUUGUAAACCUCUUACUCCAGUGACGAAGCGCAAGUGACGGUACCUGGAGAAGAAGGACCGGCCCUGUGCGUGCAUGCCGCCGCAGUAA